GACGGAGGGUGCUAGCGUUGUUCGGAAUCACUGGGCGUAAAGGGCGUGUAGGCGGGAAUGUAAGUCGGGCGUGAAAUCCCUAGGCUCAACCUAGGAACUGCACUCGAAACUGCGUUUCUUGAGUAUCGGAGAGGAAAGCGGAAUACCUGGUGUAGAGGUGAAAUUCGUAGAUAUCAGGUGGAACACCAGUGGCGAAGGCGGCUUUCUGGACGAUAACUGACGCUGAGACGCGAAAGCGUGGGGAGCAAACAGG
rnacentral:rRNA from 1 species